CAGUCGCCACGGGAAUACGUAGGUGGCGAGCGUUGUCCGGAAUUAUUGGGCGUAAAGGGAGCGCAGGCGGACAUAUAAGUCCAUCUUAAAAGUGCGGGGCUCAACCCCGUGAGGGGAUGGAAACUGUAUGCCUUGAGUGCAGGAGAGGAAAGCGGAGUUCCCAGUGUAGCGGUGAAAUGCGUUGAGAUCGGAAAGAACACCAACGGCGAAAGCACUCUGCUGGGCCGACAUUGACACUGAGAGACGACAGCUAGGUGAGCAAAUGGGAUUAGAGACCCCAGUAGUCCCUGUCUCUUAUACA
rnacentral:rRNA from 1 species